UGGAAUUUACAUGAGAAUGGUGAAUUCUCGGUAAAUUCCAUGUACAAUGUCUUAAUCCAACUGGAUGUUCCUGUCAAUAAUAAGAAGAAGAUUUAGAAAAUGAAAAUUCCUUUAAAGAUCAACAUUUUUACUUGGUAUUUAAGACGUGGUGUCAUUCUUACUAGAGAUAACCUUGCGAAGCAAAAUUUGAUUGGCAGCAAAUCAUGUGUUUUCUGCCAUCAUGAUGAGACUAUUAAACAUUUGUUCUUCCAAUGUAGUUUUGCACGUUCUAUAUGA
rnacentral:rRNA from 1 species